rnacentral:rRNA from 1 species
GAUGAACGCUGGCGGCGUGCCUAAUACAUGCAAGUCGAGCGAACGGACGAGAAGCUUGCUUCUCUGAUGUUAGCGGCGGACGGGUGAGUAACACGUGGAUAACCUACCUAUAAGACUGGGAUAACUUCGGGAAACCGGAGCUAAUACCGGAUAAUAUUUUGAACCGCAUGGUUCAAAAGUGAAAGACGGUCUUGCUGUCACUUAUAAAUGGAUCCGCGCUGCAUUAGCUAGUUGGUAAGGUAACGGCUUACCAAGGCAACGAUGCAUAGCCGACCUGAGAGGGUGAUCGGCCACACUGGAACUGAGACACGGUCCAGACUCCUACGGGAGGCAGCAGUAGGGAAUCUUCCGCAAUGGGCGAAAGCCUGACGGAGCAACGCCGCGUGAGUGAUGAAGGUCUUCGGAUCGUAAAACUCUGUUAUUAGGGAAGAACAUAUGUGUAAGUAACUGUGCACAUCUUGACGGUACCUAAUCAGAAAGCCACGGCUAACUACGUGCCAGCAGCCGCGGUAAUACGUAGGUGGCAAGCGUUAUCCGGAAUUAUUGGGCGUAAAGCGCGCGUAGGCGGUUUUUUAAGUCUGAUGUGAAAGCCCACGGCUCAACCGUGGAGGGUCAUUGGAAACUGGAAAACUUGAGUGCAGAAGAGGAAAGUGGAAUUCCAUGUGUAGCGGUGAAAUGCGCAGAGAUAUGGAGGAACACCAGUGGCGAAGGCGACUUUCUGGUCUGUAACUGACGCUGAUGUGCGAAAGCGUGGGGACCAAACAGGAUUAGAUACCCUGGUAGUCCACGCCGUAAACGAUGAGUGCUAAGUGUUAGGGGGUUUCCGCCCCUUAGUGCUGCAGCUAACGCAUUAAGCACUCCGCCUGGGGAGUACGACCGCAAGGUUGAAACUCAAAGGAAUUGACGGGGACCCGCACAAGCGGUGGAGCAUGUGGUUUAAUUCGAAGCAACGCGAAGAACCUUACCAAAUCUUGACAUCCUUUGACAACUCUAGAGAUAGAGCCUUCCCCUUCGGGGGACAAAGUGACAGGUGGUGCAUGGUUGUCGUCAGCUCGUGUCGUGAGAUGUUGGGUUAAGUCCCGCAACGAGCGCAACCCUUAAGCUUAGUUGCCAUCAUUAAGUUGGGCACUCUAAGUUGACUGCCGGUGACAAACCGGAGGAAGGUGGGGAUGACGUCAAAUCAUCAUGCCCCUUAUGAUUUGGGCUACACACGUGCUACAAUGGACAAUACAAAGGGCAGCGAAACCGCGAGGUCAAGCAAAUCCCAUAAAGUUGUUCUCAGUUCGGAUUGUAGUCUGCAACUCGACUACAUGAAGCUGGAAUCGCUAGUAAUCGUAGAUCAGCAUGCUACGGUGAAUACGUUCCCGGGUCU